rnacentral:sRNA from 1 species
CAUAGUUAUCUGGGGAGAAGGAUGAGAACCUUCGACUAAGGUUCGGGUCGAGCAGCGCGAGACAACGCGCGUCAGCGCGGCCCGCAGGGUGAGGCGCAGCGCGCCGAAUAAUCCUUCUCCCACCACCA